rnacentral:tRNA from 1 species
GGCGAGUUGGCAGAAUUGGCUAUUGCACCGGUCUUGAAAACCGGCGACUCAGAAAUGGGUUUUAGGGUUCGAGUCCCUAGCUCGCCGCCA